AGGACGAACGCUGGCGGCGUGCUUAAUACAUGCAAGUCGAACGAGGUUCACUUCGGUGGGCCUAGUGGCGAACGGGUGAGUAACACGUGGGCAACCUGCCCCUCACACUGGGAUAACCUCGGGAAACCGGGGCUAAUACCGGAUACGACCUCGAGCGGCAUCUCUUGAGGUGGAAAGCUCCGACGGUGAGGGAUGGGCCCGCGGCCUAUCAGCUUGUUGGUGGGGUAAUGGCCUACCAAGGCGACGACGGGUA
rnacentral:rRNA from 1 species